AACGCUAGCUACAGGCUUAACACAUGCAAGUCGAGGGGAAACGACAUCGAAAGCUUGCUUUUGAUGGGCGUCGACCGGCGCACGGGUGAGUAACGCGUAUCCAACCUGCCCACCACUUGGGGAUAACCUUGCGAAAGUAAGACUAAUACCCAAUGAUAUCUCUAGAAGACAUCUGAAAGAGAUUAAAGAUUUAUCGGUGAUGGAUGGGGAUGCGUCUGAUUAGCUUGUUGGCGGGGUAACGGCCCACCAAGGCAACGAUCAGUAGGGGUUCUGAGAGGAAGGUCCCCCACAUUGGAACUGAGACACGGUCCAAACUCCUACGGGAGGCAGCAGUGAGGAAUAUUGGUCAAUGGACGAGAGUCUGAACCAGCCAAGUAGCGUGCAGGAAGACGGCCCUAUGGGUUGUAAACUGCUUUUAUAAGGGAAUAAAGUGAGAGUCGUGACUCUUUUUGCAUGUACCUUAUGAAUAAGGACCGGCUAAUUCCGUGCCAGCAGCCGCGGUAAUACGGAGGGUCCGGGCGUUAUCCGGAUUUAUUGGGUUUAAAGGGAGCGUAGGCCGGAGAUUAAGCGUGUUGUGAAAUGUAGAUGCUCAACAUCUGAACUGCAGCGCGAACUGGUUUCCUUGAGUACGCACAAAGUGGGCGGAAUUCGUGGUGUAGCGGUGAAAUGCUUAGAUAUCACGAAGAACUCCGAUUG
rnacentral:rRNA from 1 species